rnacentral:rRNA from 1 species
CAGCAGCCGCGGGAAUACAGAGGGUGCGAGCGUUAAUCGGAUUUACUGGGCGUAAAGCGUGCGUAGGCGGCUUUUUAAGUCGGAUGUGAAAUCCCUGAGCUUAACUUAGGAAUUGCAUUCGAUACUGGGAAGCUAGAGUAUGGGAGAGGAUGGUAUAAUUCCAGGUGUAGCGGUGAAAUGCGUAGAGAUCUGGAGGAAUACCGAUGGCGAAGGCAGCCAUCUGGCCUAAUACUGACGCUGAGGUACGAAAGCAUGGGGAGCAAACAGGAUUAGAUACCCCUGUAGUCCCUGUCUCUUAUAA